rnacentral:rRNA from 1 species
GGUUAAGCGACUAAGCGUACACGGUGGAUGCCCUGGCAGUCAGAGGCGAUGAAGGACGUGCUAAUCUGCGAAAAGCGUCGGUAAGGUGAUAUGAACCGUUACAGCCGGCGAUGUCCGAAUGGGGAAACCCAGUGCAAUUCGUUGCACUAUCGUUAACUGAAUACAUAGGUUAACGAGGCGAACCGGGGGAACUGAAACAUCUAAGUACCCCGAGGAAAAGAAAUCAACCGAGAUUCCCCCAGUAGCGGCGAGCGAACGGGGAGCAGCCCAGAGUCUGAAUCAGCUUGUGUGUUAGUGGAACGGUCUGGAAAGUCCGACGGUACAGGGUGAUAGUCCCGUACACCAAAAUGCACAGGCUGUGAACUCGAAGAGUAGGGCGGGACACGUGGUAUCCUGUCUGAAUAUGGGGGGACCAUCCUCCAAGGCUAAAUACUCCUGACUGACCGAUAGUGAACCAGUACCGUGAGGGAAAGGCGAAAAGAACCCCGGCGAGGGGAGUGAAAAAGAACCUGAAACCGUGUACGUACAAGCAGUGGGAGCACCUUCGGGUGUGACUGCGUACCUUUUGUAUAAUGGGUCAGCGACUUAUAUUCUGUAGCAAGGUUAACCGUAUAGGGGAGCCGCAGGGAAACCGAGUCUUAACUGGGCGUUAAGUUGCAGGGUAUAGACCCGAAACCCGGUGAUCUAGCCAUGGGCAGGUUGAAGGUUGGGUAACACUAACUGGAGGACCGAACCGACUAAUGUUGAAAAAUUAGCGGAUGACUUGUGGCUGGGGGUGAAAGGCCAAUCAAACCGGGAGAUAGCUGGUUCUCCCCGAAAGCUAUUUAGGUAGCGCCUCGUGAAUUCAUCUUCGGGGGUAGAGCACUGUUUCGGCUAGGGGGUCAUCCCGACUUACCAACCCGAUGCAAACUACGAAUACCGAAGAAUGUUAUCACGGGAGACACACGGCGGGUGCUAACGUCCGUCGUGAAGAGGGAAACAACCCAGACCGCCAGCUAAGGUCCCAAAGUCAUGGUUAAGUGGGAAACGAUGUGGGAAGGCACAGACAGCCAGGAUGUUGGCUUAGAAGCAGCCAUCAUUUAAAGAAAGCGUAAUAGCUCACUGGUCGAGUCGGCCUGCGCGGAAGAUGUAACGGGGCUAAACCAUGCACCGAAGCUGCGGCAGCGACACUAUGUGUUGUUGGGUAGGGGAGCGUUCUGUAAGCCUGCGAAGGUGACCUGUGAGGGUUGCUGGAGGUAUCAGAAGUGCGAAUGCUGACAUAAGUAACGAUAAAGCGGGUGAAAAGCCCGCUCGCCGGAAGACCAAGGGUUCCUGUCCAACGUUAAUCGGGGCAGGGUGAGUCGACCCCUAAGGCGAGGCCGAAAGGCGUAGUCGAUGGGAAACAGGUUAAUAUUCCUGUACUUGGUGUUACUGCGAAGGGGGGACGGAGAAGGCUAUGUUAGCCGGGCGACGGUUGUCCCGGUUUAAGCAUGUAGGCUGGUUAUCCAGGCAAAUCCGGAUAAUCAAGGCUGAGGUGUGAUGACGAGGCACUACGGUGCUGAAGUAACAAAUGCCCUGCUUCCAGGAAAAGCCUCUAAGCAUCAGGUAACAUCAAAUCGUACCCCAAACCGACACAGGUGGUCAGGUAGAGAAUACCAAGGCGCUUGAGAGAACUCGGGUGAAGGAACUAGGCAAAAUGGUGCCGUAACUUCGGGAGAAGGCACGCUGGUGUGUAGGUGAAGUCCCUGCGGAUGGAGCUGAGACCAGUCGAAGAUACCAGCUGGCUGCAACUGUUUAUUAAAAACACAGCACUGUGCAAACACGAAAGUGGACGUAUACGGUGUGACGCCUGCCCGGUGCCGGAAGGUUAAUUGAUGGGGUUAUCCGUAAGGAGAAGCUCUUGAUCGAAGCCCCGGUAAACGGCGGCCGUAACUAUAACGGUCCUAAGGUAGCGAAAUUCCUUGUCGGGUAAGUUCCGACCUGCACGAAUGGCGUAAUGAUGGCCAGGCUGUCUCCACCCGAGACUCAGUGAAAUUGAACUCGCUGUGAAGAUGCAGUGUACCCGCGGCAAGACGGAAAGACCCCGUGAACCUUUACUAUAGCUUGACACUGAACAUUGAGCCUUGAUGUGUAGGAUAGGUGGGAGGCUUUGAAGCGUGGACGCCAGUCUGCGUGGAGCCAACCUUGAAAUACCACCCUUUAAUGUUUGAUGUUCUAACGUUGGCCCCUGACCGGGGUUGCGGACAGUGUCUGGUGGGUAGUUUGACUGGGGCGGUCUCCUCCCAAAGCGUAACGGAGGAGCACGAAGGUUAGCUAAUCCUGGUCGGACAUCAGGAGGUUAGUGCAAUGGCAUAAGCUAGCUUGACUGCGAGCGUGACGGCGCGAGCAGGUGCGAAAGCAGGUCAUAGUGAUCCGGUGGUUCUGAAUGGAAGGGCCAUCGCUCAACGGAUAAAAGGUACUCCGGGGAUAACAGGCUGAUACCGCCCAAGAGUUCAUAUCGACGGCGGUGUUUGGCACCUCGAUGUCGGCUCAUCACAUCCUGGGGCUGAAGUAGGUCCCAAGGGUAUGGCUGUUCGCCAUUUAAAGUGGUACGCGAGCUGGGUUUAGAACGUCGUGAGACAGUUCGGUCCCUAUCUGCCGUGGGCGCUGGAGAAUUGAGGGGGGCUGCUCCUAGUACGAGAGGACCGGAGUGGACGCAUCACUGGUGUUCGGGUUGUCAUGCCAAUGGCACUGCCCGGUAGCUAAAUGCGGAAGAGAUAAGUGCUGAAAGCAUCUAAGCACGAAACUUGCCCCGAGAUGAGUUCUCCCUGAGACUUUAAGUCUCCUGAAGGAACGUUGAAGACGAUGACGUUGAUAGGCCGGGUGUGUAAGCGCAGCGAUGCGUUGAGCUAACCGGUACUAAUGAACCGUGAGGCUUAACCUU